rnacentral:rRNA from 1 species
GACGAACGCUGGCGGCGUGCUUAACACAUGCAAGUCGAGCGGAAAGGCCACUUCGGUGGUACUCGAGCGGCGAACGGGUGAGUAACACGUGAGUAAUCUGCCCUUGGCUUUGGGAUAGCCACCGGAAACGGUGAUUAAUACCGGAUAUGACCACUCCACGCAUGUGGUGGUGGUGGAAAGUUUUUCGGCCAGGGAUGUGCUCGCGGCCUAUCAGCUUGAUGGUGAGGUAAUGGCUCACCAUGGCUUCGACGGGUAGCCGGCCUGAGAGGGUGACCGGUCACACUGGGACUGAGACACGGCCCAGACUCCUACGGGAGGCAGCAGUGGGGAAUAUUGGACAAUGGGCGGAAGCCUGAUCCAGCAACGCCGCGUGAGGGAUGACGGCCUUCGGGUUGUAAACCUCUUUCAGCAGGGACGAAGCGCAAGUGACGGUACCUGCAGAAGAAGCACCGGCCAACUACGUGCCAGCCGCCGCAGUAACAC